rnacentral:tRNA from 1 species
GCCUGGGUGGCUUAGUCGGUUAAGCGUCCGACUUUGGCUCAGGUCAUGAUCUCACGGUCCGUGAGUUCGAGCCCCGCAUCAGGCU